GGAAAGGUGAAAAGCACCCCGGAAGGGGAGUGAAAUAGAACCUGAAACCGUGUGCUUACAAGUAGUCAGAGCCCGUUAAUGGGUGAUGGCGUGCCUUUUGUAGAAUGAACCGGCGAGUUACGAUUUGAUGCAAGGUUAAGCAGUAAAUGUGGAGCCGUAGCGAAAGUGAGUCUGAAUAGGGCGUUUAGUAUUUGGUCGUAGACCCGAAACCAGGUGAUCUACCCUUGGUCAGGUUGAAGUUCAGGUAACACUGAAUGGAGGACCGAACCGACUUACGUUGAAAAGUGAGCGGAUGAACUGAGGGUAGCGGAGAAAUUCCAAUCGAACCUGGAGAUAGCUGGUUCUCUCCGAAAUAGCUUUAGGGCUAGCCUCAAGUGAUGAUUAUUGGAGGUAGAGCACUGUUUGGACGAGGGGCCCCUCUCGGGUUACCGAAUUCAGACAAACUCCGAAUGCCAAUUAAUUUAACUUGGGAGUCAGAACAUGGGUGAUAAGGUCCGUGUUCGAAAGGGAAACAGCCCAGACCACCAGCUAAGGUCCCAAAAUAUAUGUUAAGUGGAAAAGGAUGUGGCGUUGCCCAGACAACUAGGAUGUUGGCUUAGAAGCAGCCAUCAUUUAAAGAGUGCGUAAUAGCUCACUAGUCGAGUGACACUGCGCCGAAAAUGUACCGGGGCUAAACAUAUUACCGAAGCUGUGGAUUGUCCUUUGGACAAUGGUAGGAGAGCGUUCUAAGGGCGUUGAAGCAUGAUCGUAAGGACAUGUGGAGCGCUUAGAAGUGAGAAUGCCGGUGUGAGUAGCGAAAGACGGGUGAGAAUCCCGUCCACCGAUUGACUAAGGUUUCCAGAGGAAGGCUCGUCCGCUCUGGGUUAGUCGGGUCCUAAGCUGAGGCCGACAGGCGUAGGCGAUGGAUAACAGGUUGAUAUUCCUGUACCACCUAUAAUCGUUUUAAUCGAUGGGGGGACGCAGUAGGAUAGGCGAAGCGUGCGAUUGGAUUGCACGUCUAAGCAGUAAGGCUGAGUAUUAGGCAAAUCCGGUACUCGUUAAGGCUGAGCUGUGAUGGGGAGAAGACAUUGAGUCUUCGAGUCGUUGAUUUCACACUGCCGAGAAAAGCCUCUAGAUAGAAAAUAGGUGCCCGUACCGCAAACCGACACAGGUAGUCAAGAUGAGAAUUCUAAGGUGAGCGAGCGAACUCUCGUUAAGGAACUCGGCAAAAUGACCCCGUAACUUCGGGAGAAGGGGUGCUCUUUAGGGUUAACGCCCAGAAGAGCCGCAGUGAAUAGGCCCAAGCGACUGUUUAUCAAAAACACAGGUCUCUGCUAAACCGUAAGGUGAUGUAUAGGGGCUGACGCCUGCCCGGUGCUGGAAGGUUAAGAGGAGUGGUUAGCUUCUGCGAAGCUACGAAUCGAAGCCCCAGUAAACGGCGGCCGUAACUAUAACGGUCCUAAGGUAGCGAAAUUCCUUGUCGGGUAAGUUCCGACCCGCACGAAAGGCGUAACGAUUUGGGCACUGUCUCAACGAGAGACUCGGUGAAAUCAUAGUACCUGUGAAGAUGCAGGUUACCCGCGACAGGACGGAAAGACCCCGUGGAGCUUUACUGUAGCCUGAUAUUGAAAUUCGGCACAGCUUGUACAGGAUAGGUAGGAGCCUUUGAAACGUGAGCGCUAGCUUACGUGGAGGCGCUGGUGGGAUACUACCCUAGCUGUGUUGGCUUUCUAACCCGCACCACUUAUCGUGGUGGGAGACAGUGUCAGGCGGGCAGUUUGACUGGGGCGGUCGCCUCCUAAAAGGUAACGGAGGCGCUCAAAGGUUCCCUCAGAAUGGUUGGAAAUCAUUCAUAGAGUGUAAAGGCAUAAGGGAGCUUGACUGCGAGACCUACAAGUCGAGCAGGGUCGAAAGACGGACUUAGUGAUCCGGUGGUUCCGCAUGGAAGGGCCAUCGCUCAACGGAUAAAAGCUACCCCGGGGAUAACAGGCUUAUCUCCCCCAAGAGUUCACAUCGACGGGGAGGUUUGGCACCUCGAUGUCGGCUCAUCGCAUCCUGGGGCUGUAGUCGGUCCCAAGGGUUGGGCUGUUCGCCCAUUAAAGCGGUACGCGAGCUGGGUUCAGAACGUCGUGAGACAGUUCGGUCCCUAUCCGUCGUGGGCGUAGGAAAUUUGAGAGGAGCUGUCCUUAGUACGAGAGGACCGGGAUGGACAUACCUCUGGUGUACCAGUUGUCGUGCCAACGGCAUAGCUGGGUAGCUAUGUGUGGACGGGAUAAGUGCUGAAAG
rnacentral:rRNA from 1 species